AUCGCUUCUCUGCCUUUUGGCUAAGAUCAAGUGUUGUAUCUGUUCUUAUCAGUUUACUAUCUGAUAUGUCCUCUAUCUGAGGACGAUAUAUUAAAUGUAUCUUUGCUAGCAGGAGCUGGACUAGGAGCUUACUCCAUCCACUCCACGCAUCAACCUGUUAGUGCAGUGCUUCCAGGAAUGGUUCAGUUCCU